CCUACGGGCGGCUGCAGUAGGGAAUCUUCCACAAUGGACGAAAGUCUGAUGGAGCAACGCCGCGUGAGUGAAGAAGGGUUUCGGCUCGUAAAGCUCUGUUGGUAGUGAAGAAAGAUAGAGGUAGUAACUGGCCUUUAUUUGACGGUAAUUACUUAGAAAGUCACGGCUAACUACGUGCCAGCAGCCGCGGUAAUACGUAGGUGGCAAGCGUUGUCCGGAUUUAUUGGGCGUAAAGCGAGUGCAGGCGGUUCAAUAAAUCUGAUGUGAAAGCCUUCGGCUCAACCGGAGAAUUGCAUCAGAAACUGUUGAACUUGAGUGCAGAAGAGGAUAGUGGAAUUCCAGGUGUAGGAGUGAAAUCCGUAGAUAUCUGGAGGAACAUCAGUGGCGAAGGCGACUAUCUGGCACAUAACUGACGCUGAGGAGCGAAAGCGUGGGUAGCAAACAGGAUUAGAUACCCGAGUAGUC
rnacentral:rRNA from 1 species